rnacentral:lncRNA from 1 species
CCAAGACUAAUUAUUAUUAAUGUGUAAAUUCAAACAAACUACUUACUAAAAUUUCCAAGACCCGAAAGUCAUCGUACAAGAACUACUAACAAAGAUCAUAUCUAAAGUGAUAUCCAAAAAUAAAGUAAAUAAAGAAUGUUUCAUUGCCCGAAGAUGGACAAGAACAAAUAAGAUGACCCAUGGCAGCCUGGAGACGGAGUCC